AGUUGUCUUCGGGGCAGGGUGAAAAUCCCGACCGGCGGUGCAAGUCCGCGAGCCACGCGAGUGGUUGAAUGCUGUAAAGCUACCGAUAGUUAUAGUCUAGAUGGGAGAAGGCAGAC
rfam:Lactobacillus delbrueckii subsp. bulgaricus ATCC 11842 complete genome